UACAGAGGGGGCAAGCGUUGUUCGGAAUUACUGGGCGUAAAGGGCGCGUAGGCGGCACGGCAAGUCAGGAGUGAAAGCCCUGGGCUCAACCCGGGAACUGCUUUUGAAACUGCCGAGCUAGAGUGCGGAAGGGGCAACUGGAAUUCCCAGUGUAGCGGUGAAAUGCGUAGAUAUUGGGAAGAACAUCGGUGGCGAAGGCGGCCUGCUGGGCCGUUGCUGACGCUGAGGCGCGACAGCGUGGGGAGCAAACAGG
rnacentral:rRNA from 1 species